rnacentral:rRNA from 1 species
AAAGGUUUACCGCCUUGGGAUAGGCUUGCGUCUGAUUAGCUAGUUGGUGUGGUAACGGCACACCAAGGCUACGAUCAGUAACUGGUCUGAGAGGAUGAUCAGUCACACUGGAACUGAGACACGGUCCAGACUCCUACGGGAGGCAGCAGUGAGGAAUAUUGGGCAAUGCUCGAAAGAGUGACCCAGCAACGCCGCGUGGAGGAUGAAGGUAUUCUAUAUCGUAAACUCCUGUGAGAGCAGACGAAAGACAGAUUAUUAAUCUGGAUGACUGUAUGCUCAGAGGAAGCCCCGGCUAACUACGUGCCAGCAGCCGCGGUAAUACGUAGGGGCAAGCGUUGUCCGGAUUCACUGGGUGUAAAGGGCGCGUAGGCGGGAUAGCAAGUCAGUGGUGAAAUCUUGCAGCUCAACUGCAAAACUGCCAUUGAUACUGCUGUUCUUGAAUGUGGAAGAGAGAGGCGGAAUUCCAGGUGUAGUAGUGAAAUACGU